UUCUGCCAUAUAAAUGCUUGACGGUCUAACCAUAUCUCACCUCAUCUGCGAAUGUCUCUCUGUGAAUCAUCAGACUGAAUCUCCGCAGGUCUGUCUGAA